CCUCUGAUGGCGUAGUGGUAACGCGCCCCAACUAGAGAUCGGGGAGUCGUGAGUUCGAUUCUCACUGAGAAGA
rnacentral:tRNA from 1 species